UCGGUGAACAGCCGUCUCGCCCGCUGCGUUUUGUACGCAUCUACAGUUCAGCAAUUGUUUACUUGUAUUGUUUUAGUCCAAAAUGAAGAGUAAUUCUUUAAUGGAAUAAUAUGAUUAGAUAUCCAUUUGUAGGUCGUUCGAGUCUACGCCUCGGUUGGACCGGAAAAUACAAGGAAAUUCAUCAUCCGUUUUUCAAGGCACUACUAGAAUGCCGUUCGAAUAAUUCAUUUUUAAGGCCUAUUUCGUUGCACGGCGAUGAUUACUUUUGUAAUUUACUGUUACAUAAUUUUCUACCUGUAAAUUGCAAAUGAAAUAGUUAAUUAAAUUGUUAAGGAUUUCUUUAUUGCAUUGCGUCGUUCGCAGCGACCAAGGCU